ACUAAUACUAGCCCACAAAACAUAAAACUUAACUAUUAAUACCAAAUAAAACAAAACAUUUACUUGCCUUAAAGUAUAGGAGAUAGAAAUAAUAAUAUGGCGCUAUAGAGAAAGUACCGUAAGGGAAAGAUGAAAGACCCAUUAAAAGUACAAAACAGCAAAGAUCGCCCCUUGUACCUUUUGCAUAAUGAUUUAACCAGAAUAACUUGACAAAGAGAACUUAAGCCAAGCGACCCGAAACCAGACGAGCUACCUAAGAGCAGCUUACGGGCAAACUCGUCUAUGUAGCAAAAUAGUGAGAAGACUUUUAGGUAGAGGUGAAAAGCCUAUCGAGCCUGGUGAUAGCUGGUUAUCCAGAAUAGAAUUUUAGUUCGACUUUAAGUCGUACCCACAAACCUAAAUAAUUCACAUGUAGACUUAAAUUAUAAUCUAACAGGGUACAGCCUUUUAGACACAGGAUACAACCUUAACUAGNGAGUAAGUACAAAAAUUCACAUAGUUGGCCUAAAAGCAGCCACCAAUUAAGAAAGCGUUCAAGCUCAACCUACCCACAGCAUCCUAAUAUAAUAAUAUAAACACCAACUCCUAGACUAAUACUGGAUUACUCUAUUGGAAAAUAGAGGAGAUACUGUUAAUAUGAGUAACAAGAAUUAACUUCUCCAAGCAUAAACUUAUAUCAGAACGGAUAACCCACUGAUAGUUAGCAGCAAGAUAACCCUAUAUCACAACUUAAGCAUUUAUCAAUUUUACUGUUAACCCAACACAGGAAUGCAUCAAAGGAAAGAUUAAAAUGAGUAAAAGGAACUCGGCAAACACAAACCUCGCCUGUUUACCAAAAACAUCACCUCUAGCAUAACAACUAUUAGAGGCACUGCCUGCCCGGUGACAUCUGUUUAACGGCCGCGGUAUCCUGACCGUGCAANGGUAGCAUAAUCAUUUGUUCUCUAAAUAAGGACUUGUAUGAAUGGCCACACGAAGGUUUUACUGUCUCUUACUCAUAAUCAGUGAAAUUGACCUCCCCGUGAAGAGGCGGGGAUCCACCAAUAAGACGAGAAGACCCUAUGGAGCUUUAAUUAACCAGUCCACAAAUAAACAAANGCACUUCUAAGGAAAACAAAUCCAUUUUUGAUGGACUAGCAAUUUAGGUUGGGGUGACCUCGGAAUAUAAAGUAACUUCCGAGUGAUAAAAAUCAAGACCAACAAGUCAAAAUAUCUUAUCACUUAUUGAUCCAAUAAAUUGAUCAACGGAACAAGUUACCCUAGGGAUAACAGCGCAAUCCUGUUUGAGAGUCCAUAUCGAUAAUAGGGUUUACGACCUCGAUGUUGGAUCAGGGCAUCCCAAUGGUGCAGCCGCUAUUAAAGGUUCGUUUGUUCAACGAUUAAAGUCCUACGUGAUCUGAGUUCAGACCGGAGCAAUCCAGGUCGGUUUCUAUCUAUUUCUGUGUUCCUCCCAGUACGAAAGGACAAGAGAAACAAGGCCAACUUAACAUAAGCGCCUUAAUAUUAAUAGAUGAUAUAAUCUUAAUCUAAUAAUUGCUAUAUAAUCAACCCGAGAACAGGGUCA
rnacentral:rRNA from 1 species